AAGAUCCAACAAGCCGUAACCGUUUUCCAAAAAAUCCAUUCUUUGAAAAUGAGCCCAUCUCUCAACCCAUGCAUAAGGAUACUUUUGGGGUUUCAGGUUACGGGCACGUUUGAGUUCAUCAUGAUUCGGUUCGGUGAUCGCAUUUUUUGGGCGGUUCUUCCAUUUUUGCAAUUGUUGUGAGAGGCGAUAAGGUUAUCAGAAGGGCUUUGGGAUCGAGAGAAGAGAGUAGAUAGAAGUGGACUUAGCAACCCUUUGCUUUAGAGUUUUCUUUCAAGCUUUAGAAGUACUUAUUUUGAUUUGUCAGGUUACCUUUAGUUUGAUUUUGAAUAAGAUUAACGCCUUUUGGUUUUUUAGUUCCUUUGAUAUCAUUUUGUAUUGUUUAAAAAGU